UACGAAGGAUGCAAGCGUUAUCCGGAUUUAUUGGGUUUAAAGGGCGCGUAGGCGGUUUUUUAAGUCAGGGGUGAAAUCUUGUCGCUUAACGACAAACGUGCCAUUGAUACUGUAGGACUUGAGUACAGAUGCCGUUGGCGGAAUGUGUCAUGUAGCGGUGAAAUGCAUAGAUAUGACACAGAACACCGAUUGCGAAGGCAGCUGACGGGACUGUAACUGACGCUGAGGCUCGAAAGCGUGGGGAUCAAACAGG
rnacentral:rRNA from 1 species